rnacentral:rRNA from 1 species
AGUGAACGCUGGCGGUAGGCCUAACACAUGCAAGUCGAACGGCAGCACAGUAAGAGCUUGCUCUUACGGGUGGCGAGUGGCGGACGGGUGAGGAAUACAUCGGAAUCUACUUUGUCGUGGGGGAUAAGGUAGGGAAACUUACGCUAAUACCGCAUACGACCUACGGGUGAAAGCAGGGGAUCUUCGGACCUUGCGCGAUUGAAUGAGCCGAUGUCGGAUUAGUUAGUUGGGGGGGUAAAGGCCCACCAAGGCGACGAUCCGUAGCUGGUCUGAGAGGAUGAUCAGCCACACUGGAACUGAGACACGGUCCAGACUCCUACGGGAGGCGGCAGUGGGGAAUAUUGGACAAUGGGCGCAAGCCUGAUCCAGCAAUACCGCGUGGGUGAAGAAGGCCUUCGGGUUGUAAAGCCCUUUUGUUGGGAAAGAAAAGCAGCAGGUUAAUACGCCGCUGUUCUGACGGUACCCAAAGAAUAAGCACCGGCUAACUUCGUG